AGGAUUCUACCAGGCUUUCAAAGAACACACAGCAGCGUUCCUCAAACUGUAAUGUAAAAUAUGAAAGAGGGAGCAUUUCCAGACUCUUCAGCCAGGGUGCCCUGCAAAGCCGCCCUUGUGUCCUCUCCCAGCAUCUUUGACUCAAGUUCCUCGAGACAGGCUGUUGUCUGACAGAGUCUGUCUAGGACCCAGGAGAGCCACCACAGCCAAGAGAAGACAGAGUUGGAACUUACUGCAACACUCACCUCCAGAGAACCCCGCUGGCUGCAGAAACUCUCAGUCUAGUUCUACAGGGCUGAACAUGGUAAUCCCAGGGACAGCCACCGCUGAUGGGCUUCACACUCAAAAGACCAGGCAAGAAGCCACAUUUGUGACUGAUGACAUCCAGUGAACCAGAAGGGCAGGGGAAUUAUACAGAACCCUGUGGCUGUAUCCCAGGACAGGGUGUGUAAUGGCUAUUCCUGGUUGUCAACUUGACUAUAUCUGGAAUGGACUUCAAUCCAGAAUUGGAAGACACACCUGUGAACCAGAUCUUGAGGCUGGAAGAUACAAGUGUCUGACCUGGAUCUUGGCAUGGAGAUCUUGAGGCAUAGUGGCCAUGAAAAGCUUAGGCCCAGGCAAGGUGGUACAUGCUUUAAUCCCAGGAGACUGUGGCAAGGAGGUCUCUGAGUUCAAGAUCAACCUGGGACAAAGCAAAUCCCAGAUCCAGGCAUUGUCAUGGUAUAUACCUUUAAUCUGGGCCACACUUUCUGCUGGAGGCCUAAACAAGGACAUUGGAAGAAGGAAGAUUCGCUCUUCUUCCCCUGCUUGCACUUACUAGCAGCACAUCUGAUGGAAUCUACUGCAACAGAAGACCAGCUGAAACACCCAGCCUCGUGGAACUGAGCAACUACUAGAUUCUUGGACUUCCCAUUCACAGCUGACCAUUGUUAGAUUAGUCGGAAUGCAGACUGUAAGUCAUCACAAUAAAUUCCGUCAAUAUAGAGAGACAUUCCAUAAAUUCUGUGACUCUGGACAACCUUGACUAAUACAAGGUAGACGGCUGGAACUCACACAGAAUUUUCUUGUGCUUAAAGCAACCCACAGGCAGCCAGCAGGUGGUCAGCCUUCAGCCUUUGUAUUAAGACCCACCUCCUCACCCACUGUUGCCAGAUGAAUUGAACAACAGGGAAGAUAAUUCCAAUCACAAACCAAUCUGAGUUAUGUUUGAUGUGUUUUCCAUCCGAUAUCUGAGAGAUACUUAAACUAAUGUUUUUAUAUGUGAAAUUCAAAUUUGCCUGGGAUUAGAGUUGGGGUUCAUGUUAGCCAUGUAACAGGGCCUCAGAUCUUAGCCCAACCAACUCACGAUGGAAAUACCAUUCAGGCCAUAAAACUCGGAUGACAGGCAGAGUUUUAUGCCAAAACGAAAACAAAGACCUAAUCCAUC
rnacentral:lncRNA from 1 species